GACGAACGCUGGCGGCGUGCCUAAUACAUGCAAGUUGAGCGCUGAAGGUUGGUACUUGUACCAACUGGAUGAGCAGCGAACGGGUGAGUAACGCGUGGGGAAUCUGCCUUUGAGCGGGGGACAACAUUUGGAAACGAAUGCUAAUACCGCAUAAAAACUUUAAACACAAGUUGUAAGUUUGAAAGAUGCAAUUGCAUCACUCAAAGAUGAUCCCGCGUUGUAUUAGCUAGUUGGUGAGGUAAAGGCUCACCAAGGCGAUGAUACAUAGCCGACCUGAGAGGGUGAUCGGCCACAUUGGGACUGAGACACGGCCCAAACGCCUACGGGAGGCAGCAGUAGGGAAGCUUCGGCAAUGGACGAAAGUCUGACCGAGCAACGCCGAGUGAGUGAAGAAGGUUUUCGGAUCGUAAAACUCUGUUGGUAGAGAAGAACGUUGGUGAGAGUGGAAAGCUCAUCAAGUGACGGUAACUACCCAGAAAGGGACGGCUAACUACGUG
rnacentral:rRNA from 1 species